CAGAGCAGGAGGAAACGGAGAGAAAGGCUGAGCGCUCGCGGACGGAAGAGGGAUUUCUGGUCAAAAAUGGCUGGAUAUUGUCAGUUUGAUACAGUCUGGCUCUUCCUAUGCAUGGAGCUCCUAUCACAUGCCAGGCACAAUGGCCCCUCUCCUACCAUUGUCAAACCCUGGUAGCUGGACAUAGUUCUACUGGUAAACACCCCAGCCCAGCCCAGACUGUCGGAGCCAACCCUGGUCCUUCGCUGGGGGCGUACAGCAGUGUUCUUGGCUGGUCCUGCUUCGAGGCCUUCAGACAUCGUGCCAGGCUCUGUGCUAACAGUCACACGAGUUGAGCAUUACGCCCCUAUUUUACAGACAUGGGAACUGAGGCUCCUACCCAAGGUCAUGCAGGGAGGACUCAAACCCAAGCCUGGUGGACUUUAAACCUGGACGACAGCCUUCCUGGUCAGGGUGUUUCUCAGCUGAUCCCUCAGCCACCUCCCUUCUGCUUCCUACUCCCCAUCGCCACUCCCUCAAGCCUUAAAAUUCCCCUGUGAAGAGAUUUAUUCCUUGAGGCUGAAAGCAUUUCAAUUUUCAAGAGUCUCCAUUAAAAUGCAAAAGCCCCGGGGGUCCGGCCCAGUGUCGCAAUGGUUAAGUGCGCACAUUCUGCUUCGCGGCCUAGGGUUCGCUGGUUCGGGUCCCCGGUGUGGACAUGGCACUGCUUGGCAAGCCAUGCUGUGGUAGGCGUCCCAUAUAAAGUGAGGAAGAUGGGCAUGGAUGUUAGCUCAGGGCCAGUCUUUCUCAGCACAAAAAAAAAAAAAAAAGAGGAGGAUUGGCAGUACAUGUUAGCUAAGGUUAAUCUUCCUCAAAAAAAAAAGCAAAAGGCCCUGGGAAGUACAACCCUCUAAACCUUGUCUUAUACCUCCCGAGUAGGGAGAGUUUAAUAGACCAGUCCUGAGGGAGGAGUGGGCGCAGGGAGGAGAGGGGCAGGAUGAAAGCAUUGAAUUGGCUCAGGCCCCUUUGCCCUGAGGCCUUGAUGAACCCCAGGUGAGCUUCUCACCUGAUGCUUAGGGUCCCUAAGGCUGUUCAUUUCCAGUGAGCUAUUUUGGGAGGGCAAUUAUCCUGCGAGCACCUUAUCCCCCUCAAGCACAGUCUAACAAGGCUUCCAGGAGCCAUGAGCCUGGAGUGACCUGUGGAGAGACCAGCAGCAGGGCCACAUGCUCUCUCCUAACCAUCGGACCCAACUUCUGCGGGUUCUGCGAGCCCUUCCAAGGUGGGUCUGAGCGUGUGGUGUGUGCAAGUGUGUGUGGGGGGGCGGGGGGUGAGGGGUUCAAAUUCUACCAGCCCACCUGGCCCCUUCGUUGUCAUGGCAACCUCUCCUUGAGCGGAUCUCCUGUUGAUCUGGGUGUUUCUGAAGGCAAGCUGACACCUUCCUGGCCGCCAGCGUUGAUUGAGGCUGAGCUGAGAGACCCUCUAGAUGAAGGGACCAUCGCAUUUCUGGCUUUGACACCUUGGGCUUCCAGACUCAACCUCAAAAAUCAAUAUUUUAUUUCUGGCUCGUCGCAGAAGUAUCUUGGUGGACCUGCAGGAGUAAGCUUGCCCCUCGGCAUUCUGAGUCAGGGCCUGAAGGCAGGUGGCAAAUGUCCUCCAAAUGGAGGAGGAAUAUUUCAUGGACUCCGCUUCCCUGUCUCCCUCACCCCCUGCUUUGUGCGGGAUCUGAGUUGGCUGCUCUCUUUCCUGCGUAUUUUCCAGGAAGCAGGAUGCAGGUUAUCCUGAGAGGGACUAAGGGACAGUUCAUCCAUUCCAGGCAUCAUGACAAGCACUUUACACGCCUCAUUUAUCCCCACUACAGUCACAGAUGGUACAGACAAGGACUCAUUUUGAAUGUGAGGGCACCAAUGUUGGGGAGGGUAAGUGGCUUGCCCCGGGUCACUGAGCCGGGCUGUGGGAGAACCUGGAUUUGACAAGCUCAGGUGGUCUGCUCCUCGAGUCUGUGCUGGAACCACUGGCCCGCCGGCUGUCAGUCUGAGUGCUGUGAACGGACCACUGGGAAGCACGCGCAUAUGGUGAGAUGCACGAACUUAACCAUAGGAAAUAGAAGUAGGGCCAGGAGAGAGGGCCCUCCCCUUCGUGGCCAUCCCGCGUUGCACGCCCUGCGUAACAGGUACCACUUCCAGGGUUUAAUUAUCUGGAAUAGAUAUCAACCUGCCUCCUAAAAAGAUCAAAUUUAGUUUAAAAUAGCAACACAGUGAUUUCCAGUCUUUUAAGAUUUGCAAUGCUCUGUUGCUUUUGGUAGUUGCUGUUUCUUUUAUUCUUGUAAAUAUCCAUUUUGUGGGGCUGACCCCGUGGCCAAGUGGUUAAGUUUGUGCACUCUGCUUCAGCAGCCCAGGGUUUCGCUGGUUCGAAUCCUGGGCGCAGACAUGGCACCGCUCAUCAAGCCAUGCUGAGGCAGCGUCCCACAUGCUACAACUAGAAGGACCCACAAUGAAAAAUGCACAACUAUGUACCCAGGGGCUUUGGGGAGAAAAAGGAAAAAAAAAAUAUCUGUUUUGUAAAAGGACAUUUAUCUGUGAUAUGAAAUUCAAUUAACAAAAUGUUUGCUUUGAAGUCUUCAAUGAAACCCCUUAAGAUAACUGCAGAUGCCUAAAGAUGUUACUUAAAAUAAGUGGAGCAGGUUAUCAGAUGUUUCCACGUUGUGACCAUUGUCAAGGUGUACAUGUAAGAUUUGUGCCCUUUUUUGUUUGUAUGGUGU
ensembl:lncRNA